rnacentral:rRNA from 1 species
AUGGAGGCCGCACGCGAGGAGGACGGCGGCGGCCGCGGCGACGACAAGCUGCCGCAGGUGGUGUUCGACCGCAUCCUUCGGCGUCAGGUGGUGUACGACGCGCUCAAGCACGGGGGCAGGCACAUCGGCGCUCGGCACCGCCUACUGCUCCUUGUCACCGUCGCACAGAUGCAGCAGCUCCCCACAGCCGCACAGAUCCGACAGCUUCUCACCGCCACAUAUCCUCUUCCCGCAGCUCCUCCUACUCCAGCAGCUCCUCAGGCGGUAAAAAUCAAAUCUUGGGACAACUAA